AACGAACGCUGGCGGCAGGCUUAACACAUGCAAGUCGAGCGCCCCGCAAGGGGAGCGGCAGACGGGUGAGUAACGCGUGGGAAUCUACCCAUCUCUACGGAAUAACGCAUGGAAACGUGUGCUAAUACCGUAUACGUCCUUCGGGAGAAAGAUUUAUCGGAGAUGGAUGAGCCCGCGUUGGAUUAGCUAGUUGGUGGGGUAAAGGCCUACCAAGGCGACGAUCCAUAGCUGGUCGGAGAGGAGGAUCAGCCACACUGGGACUGAGACACGGCCCAGACUCCUACGGGAGGCAGCAGUGGGGAAUAUUGGACAAUGGGCGCAAGCCUGAACCAGCCAUGCCGCGUGAGUGAUGAAGGCCCUAGGGUUGUAAAGCUCUUUCACCGGUGAAGAUAAUGACGGUAACCGGAGAAGAAGCCCCGGCUAACUUCGUGCCAGCCGCCGCCGUAA
rnacentral:rRNA from 1 species